CAUUCCUCUUCAUUUCUCUCUUUCAACACAAAUGCUACUCUCUUCUUCUUCUACUUCCUUUCAUGGCCGAUUGCAACCCUUAGCCACCAUGGCCGCCGGCUUGGUGUCUAUCUCACACCCCGACCGGCGAUUAAAGGAAUCACAAGGACGAUUUAAAUGAUGACAGCACGAACCCCCUCAACUAUCUAACUCAACUGAAAACUGAAACCCAUAACUCGGGCUCCUUACUCCGGCGAUGAAACCAAAUUAAGAUCUCUCGAACAAAUCUCAAGGAUUCGGUCUUAAGCUACGAUGGUUCAAACACGCUCUCGCUUCAACAAUGGCAUGAUUGUCGGCAGCAACUAAACGGGUCAAUUCUUGAUCCGGGUCACACUUGGGCUGCUCUUGGGCUCCGGGUUUUAAUUUCUUCAAGCAUGUUGUAAUUUGUCUUUGUAGU